rnacentral:rRNA from 1 species
CCUACGGGGGGCAGCAGUGGGGAAUAUUGCACAAUGGGGAAACCCCGAUGCAACCAACCCCCGGUAGGCGUUGAGGGCCUCCGGGCGGAAAGCCCCUGCCUAAGGGGAGGAUACUGGCGGUACCCUAGGGGGGAGCCCCGGCCUAACUCCGUGCCAGCAGCCGGGGUAAUACGUAGGGGGCUAGGGUUAUCCGGAAUUACUGGGCGUAAAGGGUGCGUAGGCGGCCCUUCAAGUCAGAGGUGAAAGGCUACGGCUCAACCGUAGUAAGCCUUUGAAACUGUAGGGCUUGAGUGCAGGAGAGGAGAGUGGAAUUCCCAGUGUAGCGGUGAAAUGCGUAGAUAUUGGGAGGAACACCAGUUGCGAAGGCGGCUCUCUGGACUGUAACUGACGCUGAGGCACGAAAGCGUGGGGAGCGAACAGGAUUAGAUACCCCGGUAGUC